rnacentral:rRNA from 1 species
UACGGGGGGAGCAAGCGUUGUUCGGAUUUACUGGGCGUAAAGGGCGCGUAGGCGGUCAGCACAAGUCAGUUGUGAAAUCUCCGGGCUUAACCCGGAAAGGUCAACUGAUACUGUGCGACUAGAGUGCGGAAGGGGCAACUGGAAUUCUCGGUGUAGCGGUGAAAUGCGUAGAUAUCGAGAGGAACACCUGCGGCGAAGGCGGGUUGCUGGGCCGACACUGACGCUGAUGCGCGAAAGCCAGGGGAGCGAGCGGG